GAUUCCCUGCCAGUAGUCAUAUGCUUGUCUCAAAGAUUAAGCCAUGCAUGUCUCAGUGCAAGCCGUCCUGUACGGUGAAACCGCGAAAGGCUCAUUAAAUCAGUUAUGGUUCCUUAGAUAGUACCCACGUUACUUGGAUAACUGUGGUAAUUCUAGAGCUAAUACAUGCCUAUUGAGUUCCGACCGGGGUCGCGGCGGUUUCGGCCGCGCGGCGGCGUUCGGGAGGAGCGCUUUUAUUAGAUCAAAACCGGCCGAGCGGCCGUCUUCCGAGGCGGCCGUAAGGGGCCCGCGCAAUGACUUGACGACUCUGAAUAACUUCGAGCUGAUCGCACGGUCUCGUACCGGCGACGUAUCUUUCAAAUGUCUGCCUUAUCAACUGUCGACGGUAAGUUAGAUGCUUACCGUGGUGGUAACGGGUAACGGGGAAUCAGGGUUCGAUUCCGGAGAGGGAGCCUGAGAAACGGCUACCACAUCCAAGGAAGGCAGCAGGCGCGCAAAUUACCCACUCCCAGCUCGGGGAGGUAGUGACGAAAAAUAACGAUACGGGACUCAUCCGAGGCCUCGUAAUCGGAAUGAGUACACUUUAAAACCUUGGUCACACGAGGAUCAAUUGGAGGGCAAGUCUGGUGC
rnacentral:rRNA from 1 species